rnacentral:rRNA from 1 species
CCUACGGGGAGCAGCAGUGAGGAAUAUUGGUCAAUGGCCGCAGGGCUGAACCAGCCAAGUCGCGUGAGGGAUAACGGUCCUAUGGAUUGUAAACCUCUUUUGUCAGGGAGCAAAGGGCGCCACGUGUGGCGCUUUGCGAGUACCUGAAGAAAAAGCAUCGGCUAACUCCGUGCCAGCAGCCGCGGUAAUACGGAGGAUGCGAGCGUUAUACGGAUUUAUUGGGUUUAAAGGGUGCGCAGGCGGAAUGUCAAGUCAGCGGUAAAAUUUCGGGGCUCAACCCCGUCGUGCCGUUGAAACUGGCGUUCUUGAGUGAGCGAGAAGUAUGCGGAAUGCGUGGUGUAGCGGUGAAAUGCAUAGAUAUCACGCAGAACUCCGAUUGCGAAGGCAGCAUACCGGCGCUCAACUGACGCUCAUGCACGAAAGCGUGGGUAUCGAACAGGAUUAGAUACCCCUGUAGUC